ensembl:ncRNA lncRNA:CR44542 long non-coding RNA:CR44542
GUAGGAUUUCAAUUAAAAUCGGUGGAUGGAGGUAGGGGAAGUAGAUCAGCAUCCUCUGGACCCCUCUUGACACAAUCGCAAUCAGAGUCCCAAACACGGAAACUAAAAAAUAGAAAACAGAGAUGAUCGCCACAUUGUGAGAACACAAUCGGCGAACGUCAGUCACCAACCGAUCUCCAUUCAUUACGAGGCAUUCAUCUUUCACCUUUUUUUUUAUUGUAUUACUUCACCCUUUCACCGAACCACGUUGACAAAACUGUUGCCUUAGUUGCCUAAUGCCGCAUUAUCCUUCGGCUGGGAUUGUGUCCUGUGAAGUGACAUUCCGUCU